UUCAAAUUAAGAAUUAUGAUUCGUUAAUUAGAUGGGGUUUUAUAAUAUUGACGCUUGAAUUUUUAAGUAUAAACUUUUGUGGUUCAAAUAAUAUUGAAUUUAUCAAUUGCAUGUUAAAUUGCAUUUGUUUUCUUUUUUCUUUUUGCACUGCAUGUGAAUUCGUUCUUUAUGAUCUCAAACUAUCAGUUUUACUUUGAUAUGUAAUGUGAUUUUAAGGAAUUUUGAGAAUUAGUUGAAUUUGGUUCUUAAAUUUUGAAGGUUGAAAUCUUAUUUGCAAUGACUAAUUUCAUAUUUUUACAUUAAAUCUUUGUUAAUAACACAUGUUAAUGGCAUUAAGAGACCCUAAUAGGAGACAAAACUUCAAUGGAAUUGUUGAAAACAGCAAAUUACCAUAUUACUCUCUAUUGUUCUAUCUCACACCCUUAUUCUAGAUAUUCUUAUAUUGCCAUUUUUGCCCUCUAUCAUUCUAUAUUGCAUCCCCUCCCUGUAAUAUGUAAUACAAUGGUUUGUCUACUUUCUUAACUUUAAAGGCUCAUUUAGAAAAAGGAUGCAUAAGAUGAAAACCGGUUAUCUUCAUGUUGCAGGGUCAAAAAUCAAGGUAAUGGACACACUUUGAAGUGAAAUAUGGAGUUUGGCACACACAAAGUUAUGGACACUCCAAAACUGAAAAAAAAAAUCAACUAAACUCAAGUACCAUUUUUUAAUAUACUCAAAAUUCCCUAAUCUAUAUGCCCGAUUCUUGAAUUUGGGUUUCAUGUCGGCAUCCUCUCCAUCAUGUUCACCAGGACCAGAUUUGUGUGUGAUCUGAUCUGUAUGAAUGUAUGAAAUAUAAAGGAUUUUCUUGGUUGGUUGGUCAGCUGGUGAGAGACCAAGGGAGUACUGAAUUUGAAUAGUUCCACAAUGUACCACCACGAACUGGAUCUUCUUAGAACUGUUUCGCAAAACAUCCAAAUACUUGUAUGUGACAUAGGUGUCGACAAUUGUAGUUUGUUCCAAAUACAUGUAUGUGACAUAGUUUAUAAUUAGGAAUUUGUAACUCCGUUUAGUUUGAAUUUUAAUUUUAACAGAGGGCUUGCAAAUUUUACUUUCAAAUUGGACAUUGCAACUUCA